AGACUGAAAGAGCUGGGGCUGUUCAGUCUGCAGAAGAGGAGGCUCCCAGGUUGAGCUUCUUAAAUGCCACUGCAGGGCCGAUGUAUCUGCUGGAGGAGAGAAAUAUAGCCUUGUAAAGAGAUUUUAACUGUGC